UGGUUCUCCUAUAAAGGUUAUUCUGUUUCUUUUUUUUUUUUUUUUUAGAUAGUAUUGCAAAAAGUAAAAACAUAUGCUAUACCUGAUCUAAGAGUUAAUCUCAGCAAUAAGUAAGAAAUUUAAUAUUUAAAUAUUUUAUCAAGUUGUACGCAUAGGAAUAUUAUCCCAAUUGAAGAGCAUAAUGGGUUAAUGUUACUAGAGGACGUGUUUUAGUAAUUACU